rnacentral:rRNA from 1 species
CGUUGUUCGGAAUUACUGGGCGUAAAGCGCGUGUAGGCGGCUUGGCAAGUCGGGUGUGAAAGCCCUGGGCUUAACCUAGGAAGUGCACUCGAAACUGCCGAGCUUGAGUUCUGGAGAGGAAGGCGGAAUUCUCGGUGUAGAGGUGAAAUUCGUAGAUAUCGAGAGGAACACCGGUGGCGAAGGCGGCCUUCUGGACAGCAACUGACGCUGAGACGCGAAAGCGUGGGGAGCAAACAGG